rnacentral:ribozyme from 1 species
GAAGAAGAAGAAAGAAAAAAGAAAAAGAGACGAAUGAUUGAAUUCGACAACAGCAACAAAACACACAUGAUCCUCCUGUCGUGAUUCAUCUCUUGUGUGUGUAUGUGUUUUUGUUUUCAAUCGUAGCUU